rnacentral:sRNA from 1 species
CGUUCCGAACAUCUGUUUCUCCUCCCUCAGUAAAUACAGAUACGGAUGUAAAUAUGUAUAAUGAUCAAUUGCAUCUGCAAAGGAAUGCCCUGUGUGUGAUUCCUCAAGAUUUCUUUCAGUUGCUGCCAAACCUGACUUGGCUGGACCUCCGGUACAAUAGAAUUAAGGUGCUUCCUUCUGGGAUUGGAGCUCACAAGCAUUUGAAAACUUUGCUUUUAGAAAGAAAUCCUAUCAAAAUGUUACCUGUGGAGCUGGGGAGCGUAACCACGCUGAAAGCACUGAACCUAAGACACUGCCCUCUGGAAUUCCCUCCUCAGCUCGUUGUGCAGAAGGGAUUGGUGGCUAUCCAGCGCUUCCUGCGGAUGUGGGCAGUAGAACACUGUCUCCCCAGAAAUCCAACUUCUCAAGAGACUCCACCGGUUAGAGAGAUGACCCUCCGUGACCUCCCGAGCCCAAGAUUGAAGUUGUCUGGAGACCACGCGUCUAACGAAGGAGCUGUGAACGCUCAGGACCCAGAGGGGGCCGUGAUGAAAGAGAAGGCCGGCUUUCUCCUGUCUGUGGAAAAGCCAGACCUGAGUGAACUCAGGAAGUCUGCUGACUCCUCAGAGAACUGGCCUAGCGAGGAGAUCAGGCGCUUUUGGAAGCUGAGGAAGGAGAUUGUUGAGCACGUGAAGGCAGACGUUCUGGGAAAUCAGCUCUUACCGAGGGAAUUACCUCCAAAUCUCAAGGCGGCCUUGAACAGUGAGGAAGAACUGCCAAAGCCAAGACGGG